ensembl:snoRNA T09B4.22 ncRNA
AUUCCUCUCAACAACUAUGCAAAUUUGUAUUACUGAGCAAGCAAUAACUACCGAUGCAACAUCAAAUGCCAAUGCAAAAGGAAGAGAGAGAAAGAGAUUGACUAAAGAACUAAUAAAGGUCAAAACC